rnacentral:lncRNA from 1 species
CAAUUGGGUGACAGUUUAGUCAGUUGGAAGUCCAAGAAGCAGCCAGUGGUCUCCCUGUCCUCUGCUGAGGCAUAAUACAGGGCCCUCAGUAAGGUGGUUGCUGAGUUAUCUUGGUUAUCUCGUUUACUCACUGAUAUUGGUAUAUUUGUUGUUUUUCCUUUGUUUGUUUACUGUGACAAUCAGGCAGCCAUCCAUAUUGCUAAGAAUCCGGUGUUUCAUGAGCGGACCAAGCACAUUGAAGUCGACUGUCAUUUUGUUCGUACCAAACUUGCAGAUGGCUUGAUCAUCCAUAUUGCUAAGAAUCCGGUGUUUCAUGAGCGGACCAAGCACAUUGAAGUCGACUGUCAUUUCUUUCUUACCAAACUUGUAGAUGGCUUGAUUUCCCUUUCUCAUGUGUCAACCUCUCACCAGCUAGCUGAUGUGCUCACCAAGCCCCUGCCUGGCUCUGCUCAUCAUUAUCUUCUGUCCAAGUUGAAGGUGGUCUCCCCCUCCAACUUACAGGGGGGUGUUGAACUAAAGGAUUACUUAGCCUCCAAGCACAAACACAAACAUUCAUAACUGUUGUAUAUUCAGUGUAUCUUUAUUGUAUAUUGCUGUAUAUUGUAUGUAUAACAGACUUUGGGCCAGAUUGUGUAUUUUAUUUUGGGCAAUUGUUGUAUAUUCAGUGUACCUUAAUUGUAUAUUGCUGUAUAUUGUAUGUAUAACAGGCUUUGGGCUAGAUUGUAUUUAGUUUGGACCUGUUCCUAUUCGG